GGUAUGACUGCUCACAAUGAGGCUACUAAAGUUUGACUGACACAUAAACAUGAUCUCAAUGAGUCCUUGUAGUGGAUGUUGGCGAUAAUUGGUCUACUAUAGAAGUAAGGUAUGCAUCAAGAUGGAAUCAAUCGAUCUUGAUAGAAAGGAGUAGUUCUAUGGGAUUUGACAGGUUAAAUCUGAGAGUCUGUAGCUACAGCAAUGU
rnacentral:lncRNA from 1 species